GAAAAUAGCAACAUUCCUUUUUCAUAAAUCAGAUAACUUUUCAUUUUAAUAUGCCUUAAGAGAAAAACAUUUCUAUGUUGUAGUGAUUUAUUUUUAAUAAUGAUGACUUGUGUCUUAGCAUUGGUGCUAAUAUGUCGCAGCUGAGUUAGUUCUUCUGAUCAGACAAACCAUGAUGUAAUGUUGGGUCUCCGACAUACUUACUUAUCCAAACUUACAUACGAAUACAUACUUAGAAGCUAUUGUUUCAUGAAAGUGGCAACGCUUUGUAGCAGCUUCUCUUAACUAAGUUUUAUUUCAUUUACCAGACUUAAUACUUAUUAUUAUUUCUUUGGGGUUAAAAGGUACAGUCCUGCUCGACUGCAAAUGGCAUGACGAUGAGCCACUUUGCUUUGUGAAGCCUGGAAUAUCGUUUGACAGAAACAUAACAAAAAGUAUCAGUAUUGAAGUCCCUGAGUGGUCUUCUCACGACGAAGAGAAUGAAAGUUACAAGUGUGAAUUCUCACCUCCAGGACUCAUCGAAGCAGUUCCUUGUAAUUUUAGUCCAGGUGGAGCAAUCACGUGCGAUGUAGUCAAAACUAACUCAGAAAGAGGCACACAGAUGACCUGCCACUUUCCAGAAGAUGUUGGUUUGACGAAAAAGAAUCUUCAAGUUAUUCAGCUUAAUGGCACCAACAUGAAAAGUAAAAUAUUAUUGGACUGCAAAUGGCUUGAUGGAAAACCGUUCUGUUUCACCGAAUCAGGGUUAUCCUUUGACAGAAAUAUUACAGAUCGCUUCACCAUUAUGAUGCCUUCCUCACCUUCAGACGAUGCUAAAAAUAAAAGUUACAGAUGCGACCUUUU